CUGUCGGAUCCUCUUAAAGGUCCUCGUGUGUGCCUGAACAAAUAGUAAUAGUCUAUCAUUUACAAUCCCUACUAUUGAUAAAAAUCGUGUCAUAGUACAACUUAGGAAAAAACUCGUGAAACAAGUGUUAAUUAUUCUAAAUCGGGACUCUCAAGCGGGUUUCAAAGUACAAGAGAAAUUAAGUCCUCAUCAUGAAAAACAAGGAUAAGACAUUUGAAUAAUAUCUAAGGAACAAGGAGUACUUGAAAAACUCCACUUCCGUGGAAUUCGGAAAAUUUUCAGUUUUGAUGCGAUACUUUGAAAAAUCGUAGCUCACCUUUUACAUGUCAAAAAUUGGAAACUUGGUACCGUUGGAAACCUCUUCCAAAGUACUAAAAGUUCCUAAAAUACACUUUUCCAUGAUUCUAAAUGGAAGAUAGUCAAAAAAUGGCUCAAAGUUACUGUUUUGGUUCAUAAGGCAGAUUUAAGUUGAUUUUUGGCCAACUUUGGAAUUUCGGCAAAAUUCACUUGUUUGGAACUAGCUUUUGAAAUUUUCAACUCUAUUAGUGUUGUAAUCCAAGAGUAUAACAAAACAAAUAGAACAAGAAACGGGGUUUUGAGCACCAAGAUACGGUAGCUCAAAAUUACUAAAAUUCCCUUGUGAAACAUGGUUUUUUUCAAACUCGAGUCAUGAACUUUGGUAAUUUAUUUGAACCAUGAAACGGCCUCAGAAUAACACCAUAAUUAGCAGUAUAAUACUACCAUAUAAGGGUUGUCCCUCUACCAAAUUUCAUGGAAAAAUAACUUCGGAAAGGUGGUCAAUCAAACACCUAAAAUUUCGCAAUUACUAAGACAAAACUGCCUUGAACCUUUUGUUUUCCCAUUUCAGACAUUUGGUCAAAGAAAAAUUCCUCCAAACCUGGUUCAUUUGUUUAGGCAAAAUUUAAAGAACGUUCAUGGUACAUUUGGUAAGUGUUUAGCAUCAAAAUAUUCAGUUAGCAAGUCUUUGCCAAACCUUGCAUCAAAUCUGUCUAAAAAUCAGGGUUUUUAAGGACAGAGCAGGUUUCAUAUUUUGAUCACAGAUCACUCAAAUUAACUCGGAAUUUGGCAUUGCUUAAGGCGUUGCAAAACACAUUCAUAGAGCUAUAAUGUCACAGAAGAAAUCAUUUUGAAAUUCGGCACACAACUAGCUCGAAUUCGAGUCACAAGUUGCAGCCUCAGCAUUUUGUUCUUGUAAAACAGGGAAACAGAACAGCCGAUUUAAAAUAGUUGGUUUCGCUCACAUACAUGGAACCAGAAUGUACAGUUUAUAUCGUCGGAAAGGUUGGAAUGUCUAGUUUCAAAUGCCGCUGACGGCACUCGAUUUCGACAUCGGAGCUCAAAAUUAUGGCCAAAAUACGGAAGCUGGUUAGAGCCUUACAAAAACAGUUGCAGAUUUACUAGCUUUGUGAAAUCAUUUUAUUUGACCAACCAAAACUCAAUAUUUUUCAAUGAAACUUUGUACACCAUAUAUUCAACUUAUAAGAAUGAUAUACAAGUCAUAAAACCCUCAAAAUUCUGCAAAAAUGGGUGCGAUUAAAACAGGGCAGAUUCGUUAUCAUCACAUGCAACUCCUCAAUUUGCCCCCUUUUAAAUUUUUGCCACUUAACUCUACUAAAUUAGCACCUAAUCAACACAAGCAGCAUCAAAUCCUGGCUAAUCAGAUUAUCCAAGUCAUUGUGGGAAUUCAUAGAGCCACUCACCAAAUUUUCCAUUAAAACUCAAAGGAGUCACCAUCGGCUAGGCUGGAAAAAUUGCAGCAAAUAGAUAGUUUGGAAAACGAACUUUUCCCUAACAAAAUUCAUUACUUUGUUCACUCAAACUCAGCAUGCAUAUGGUGAUUAUUGUGUUAUGAGGUAUAUUGAACCACAAUACGAAAUUUGCAGCCAAGAUUUGAAGAGAAAAACUGGAAAUUCUUUCUUUCCCUCUCUCGGCCAACUCAACAGAUUUCCAGCAAUUAGAUUGGUCAUAAAUCCAAAUUUUCCUUCGGUUAAUUCAUGGUAUUAGGUGCUAAAAAUUAACAUGCAAAUACUUAACUAGUUGAUCAAUAUUUCUAGUUCAAAAUCGGAUUCAAACAACAGCCAUAAUCAUCCAAGAAAACCAGAAAUUCUGUUUGCUACCUUCGGAUGAGCUUGCAUGCGGCCAGAUUGUUUUUCAUUCUUAUUUUUCUAGCAUAACCGAACCAAGGGGCUGCAUGCAGAGCUUAAUUACCUUGUUCUUAAUUAGUUAAACGCAUCUAUCAGCUCAAACUACUACAAAGAGACAGAAUUAAAUCUGCAUUUUCCAAAUCAGUCCCACGGCAAAUUCCAAUUUCUUCCUAAUCAAAUUUUCUCAUGCUUUGGUUUCAUCAUCCGAGACACAAACACUUCAUGCAUGACCAUAAUUUACUGCAUCUACCACUAAUCAACUCCUUCUAACUCAGAAAUUACCUCAGGUUGCAGCUUAUACACGCGACAAGGUGCUGUCAAUUUUUCCUUCUCUCGGAUGGUUCGAAGUGCAGCCCGUUUCCUCUCCUUCUCUUAUACAGGCUGGCGGAUGAGAUGAGGGAAAGCAGCAGGUCUCUCACUUUUAUUUCUAGCAUGCGGUCAGGAGGUGAUGAAAUAGAAGGCUCGGCUCUCUCUCCCUUUCUCACUUCACUCUCUCGGACAGAACAGGAAUUGCAGCUCACACAUCUCCCUUUCUUUUCUCUUGCUCAAGCUGAGGAGCUCUCUCACUCUC
rnacentral:lncRNA from 1 species